rnacentral:rRNA from 1 species
CUUUACUGCAGCUUGACAGUGAUUUCCGGGGUAAUCUGCGUAGGAUAGGUGGGAGGCUGUGAAGCUGGGCUUCUGGGUUCAGCUGAGCCAACGUUGAAAUACCACCCUGAUUACUCUGGGAAUCUAACCUGGGCGAGUGAACCCUCGUCGGGGACACUGUCUGGUGGGCAGUUUGACUGGGGCGGUCGCCUCCCAAAAAGUAACGGAGGCGUGCGAAGGUUCCCUCAGGCCGAUUGGAAACCGGCCGUAGAGUGCAAACGCACAAGGGAGCUUAACUGCGAGACCGACAGGUCGAGCAGGUGCGAAAGCAGGCGUUAGUGAUCCGGUGGUCCCGUAUGGAAGGGCCAUCGCUCAUCGGAUAAAAGGUA